CUCUUCUUUUUCAAAUUCCAAACUUUCAAAACCCUCACUACCACCACCUCACCCUUGAUCACAACUCCCUCCGCUUCCCUCUCCAUUGCCACCACUCACCAUUCAUCUUCUUGUUCAUCAUCAUCAUCAUGCCUUUUACAAUGAAGAUUCAGCCGAUUGAUUCUAACAUCUAUUAAGAGAUGAGGAGGUAGGAAUUGGUGAAGCCGGUGGCCAAGUGGCGGUUGAAGCGCCUCUUCGAGUGCCAAUGCCCCGGUGUUUUGAGGAGCUCGGGCACUACAAAAUAGGUGGAGGAUUGCAGCGUCCAUUUUGUGUCGAUUUACCUAAUCACCGCCAAAUUGAAAGAUUGCAGCGGUUUAGUCGGCGAGUUUGUUGAGCGCAGCAAAUUUUGUUUUGGCCCCUUCCCCGACUAAAAAGGAGAAAUCACUUCAUUUCAUUUCAGUAGUGAGCCAAGCCCCUUCUCCCCCCUUCUCCAAACUCAGAACUAAGGUCUGAGAACCCUAGCCUCUCUUCGUUGGUCCGUCCAUUCAUCAAGCCAUACUGCCGCCGUCCGGCGCACGCAGGGACUUCGCUUCGUCCGUCGAGCCAAUGCGCCCCCAUCCCCUUCUCCAAUCUUCUUCCUUCCGCAGAAUUGCGUGUAGCCCUAGCCCCUCCAUCCACCUCGUAGCUUCUUCGUGGAGCUUGGUGGCUGUCGUCUUUGUCCUAACUUUUUUCAAAUUCUCCUACCUCUGCUUUGCUUCAUGCCUCCGUCUCAACCGUCUAGUUGGUCUCUGUUGCUGCUUCCCCCGGGCCAUUGGUGGUGCCUCCUUGUUGUCCCUAUUGGUCGUCGUUGCUAGGUAUAUGGUUGUCGAUGUCGUUGCAUCUGCUUCUGCUUCACACACUCACUAAUUGGGGCUUGUGAUUGGAGCUCCUAAAUUCUGAGUUAUGCAGGUCAAGCUCCUCCUGAUUUGAGUUUCUAGCCACUAUUUUUCCCCUAAUUUAACUCUAUUUCAUAGAUUUUUUUUCUUAAAUUUUAUUUCUUUUAGGUUUAGCCUAUUGAUUUUGGUUGUUCAUAUUGUUGAAUUAAACUUGAAUGCUUAACUGUGUAGUGCCCCUGAUUUGAUGAUUUUAUAUUAUUAUGGGAUAGAAAUAAAAAUUUUAAAAUAGAACAGCCAAAAAAAUGAUCGACAUAAACCAGAAUUUUGAUAUAGUAGCACAAUGCUAUCAAUGAUGUGCAGUUGAAUUAGUAUUGCAAGUUGAACUUGAAUGUUCAGGGGUUGAUUUGUUGUAUUCUUUUAUGCUAUCUGCUACAUGAUGCUUAGGAAAAACCUCGAUUGCCAUUUGUUCUGUCUUUCGUUCUGAUUUUGAUGUUGCUGCUCUACUGGUCUUAUUUUCUUGUUGCAAGAAUACCUCGCCGGUUUGCACUUGUAUGCAGGGAUUCAGGCCUAAGAACCAAGAAGCUUGGAACUUGAGAGAUGGGUCUAACGGGUGUGUGAGGAACACGGGUUUGAAUUGUUCGACUGACAAGUUCUUGCAUCUUAAGAACAUGAAGCUGCCAAAGAUAAGUAGUGUGUUUAUGAAUAAGAGUAUGACACUUGAUGAAUGUGGCAGUCUGUGUAAGAGGAAUUGUUCAUGCAUUGCAUAUGCAAACAUUGAUAUCAGAAAUGGAGGAAGUGGCUGUGUUAUGUGAAUUGGUUAACUCUUUGACAUGAGUGUCUACCGUACGGAUGGUCAAGAUGUCUAUGUUAGAUUGGCUGCAGCUGAUAUAGAAGAUACUUGGGUGAUGAAAGGAACAUGGAUGAUCUAGAGUUGCCAAUGUUUGAUUUUGCUACCUUAAUGUGGCUACAAACAACUUCUCUCAAGAUAAUAAACUUGGAGAAGGAGGCUUCGGUAGUGUUUAUAGGAUUGAUUGUAGGCCAAGAAAUUGCUGUGAAAAGAUUGUCAGAAGACUCUGAACAAGGAAUUGAAGAAUUUAAAAAUGAAGUCAAAUCAAUUGUCAAGCUGCGACACCGAAAUCUUGUUCGGUUGCUUGGUUGCUGCAUUAAGAAAAAUGAGAAGAUGUUGGUGUAUGAAUAUAUGGAAAAUAGAGACCUUGAUUCCAUUUUAUUUGGUAACUUGAAUUAUUUAUUUAGAUUUUUUAUUUUGGCAGUAAUUGUAAAAUUGACCUCAAUUCCUAACUUCCUGUGCUUCAGAUAGAUGUCAUUUGAUUUGUUUUGGGUAGAUGAUUCAAAUCAUGAUGAUUACCAAAGUAAUUUUGUUGAAAGGUUUCAUGCUAUUAGCUUUUGUUUAGUAUUUGAACGUGUAUCAUUAUUUAGACUUAGACAACCAAGUGACAAAUUCUUCUAAUAUGAUUACGAAAUAAUUUUUUACUUUAGUUUCA